rnacentral:rRNA from 1 species
GACGAACGCUGGCGGCGUGCUUAACACAUGCAAGUGGAGCGACGAACCAGAGCUUGCUCUGGGGCAAAGCCGCGAACGGGUGAGUAACACGUGGGUAAUCUGCCCUGUUGAUUGGGACAACCCCGGGAAACCGGGGCUAAUACCAAAUGUGCUCGUGUCACAUCAGUGAUAUGAGGAAAGGAGGCUUCGGCUUCCGCAACGGGAUGAGCCCGCGGCCCAUUAGCUUGUUGGUGGGGAAUGGCCCACCAAGGCUUCGAUGGGUAGCUGGUCUGAGAGGACGAUCAGCCACACUGGGACUGAGACACGGCCCAGACUCCUACGGGAGGCAGCAGUGGGGAAUCUUGCGCAAUGCGCGAAAGCGUGACGCAGCAACGCCGCGUGAGGGAAGACGGCCUCGG